rnacentral:other from 1 species
GAAAGCCUGAGUGGUUCGAUACCUCCCGUUUUAUUUGAACCUACAGAUACUUUAAAUGGGACGCUUAACUUCGCUUCCUGUAUAUGCCAGGCCUCCAUCCGGGCUUGCCCGGACGCGAAAGCGAGAGUGGAAGGCAGAAAGCAGGACGGUGGCAACCCACCUAGCAUUGCUAGGAGUCAACUGACGGGAGACCGGCCGACUUGGGUUUUUG